UUUCACCUGGAUGUGACAAACCCACCCUCAUUUUUCUUCCGUAGAAAUAAGAUAAAAGAGUGAAUUUGUGAAUAAUUGGAUGGGCGGAACUAUUGAAAAUUGGGUUAUGACCCCACCAAUUCAUUCAUUCAGUCACCCCAGCCGAUGGAAGAAGCAAUUGGCCCUCCCUGCAACUGCUCAGCCAUUCAAAACCCAUUAUUAUUAGCUCAGAUGAAGAUCACUUGAAAGAAGAUGCUAACUUAAUUAGCUUACAUAUGAUGAUUGAUGAAGUUGAGUAACAUAUGAGCCGAAAUUCAAAUGCAAAGGGAUCAAGAAGUGAGUUUAAACCUUGAUCUGGUGCCUAACGUAUCCAUGAAAAUGCUCACAGGAGGUAUAAAUCCUUCCACGAAAAUGCUCACAGGAGGGACAAAUAGCACAAUCUGAUGAUUCAUAGACGGAUCGAACAGUAGCAAAAAUGUUAGCUCGGGUGGAUUUAUGGGGUGGUUGGUCAGCAGAUAAGGUAUAUGUCCUCGUAAUCGGUAUGUUUUCUUAUCUUAUAUUCGUAUGUAGCACAUUUUUGUUUGGUGUUCUUCAUUGUUCUUUAUCUAUGUACUUUAUGCACAUGCCAUUUGAGCUGUUAAAUGGGUACUGGUCGAGUUAACAAACUCAAAGCUCAACAAGCCAAAAAUCCAAGUGGAUUGGUCAAGGAAAAUCAAAAUAUAGACAUGUCUAAAAGCAUAAAGGCUGGUAAAUAGGAAAAUAGUUAACCUUGUUUCUGCUAGAGACUUCCAGCUCCAGUCAUCGUUGUCGUCCAAAAUAGCUCUUGCUGAUAGCAUUAGACAUUUCUUCCCAUCUUUGGCAAGAGAAAACCACUGUCAAACAAUCUUAAAUUGUAAGUACUAAUCAUUCAACAAUAAUGGAUUG